UAUUGGUAAGGUUCCAUUGAGCACUUUGCCAGAGAUCUGAGAAGUAGACAGUGUAUUAAAACCAUUUUAGAAGCAAACAGUUAUUUGGGUAGAUUUGAAAUAAAUGCUGUUGGGAUGGGGGGGUCAGUGGGAGGGGAAAAGAAUCUCUGAAACCUCCAGGUAAAGAGACUAAGACAACUAAAGAAGAUUGUGAGGGGGGAAUGGAGUUUGUCGAAUGAGUGGACUUUCUGAGGAUCUGGAGAAACUUCACAAAAAUAGGCAUUUUUGCAAAGGAAUACAAUUCCUUGAACAUUGUAUGGGUUGCACUAAUUAGAAGAAUAGAGAUCCAAGUACAUUGGUUUAACACUUCCACUGCCUCCUUGGAUUAUGAUGGGAGAGAGAGAGAGAGCACUCUGUCACUUGCAUAGUGAUGACAUUUGUGCUCCAUAUUUCCAAUGGAUCUCCAGCAGCUUCAUGUAUAUGUUACAAAGUACUGAGGACAACAUCUAUGCUUGCGAUGUCCCAUAAGCCAAUGACCAUGGGCUGAACACCACUUUCUGGUACCUGCAUGACAUGAAGAAAUCAAACGACCAAAAUACCGAGUUUGCCAGACUCAACCUAGCUAAGCUGGUUUCUUUAGGAGGGGGUCUGACUGUAGCCUCCUUUCACACUGCAGGUCUUCCUAUAGUGAAUAAUUAAUAAUUAACACCAGUUUGGCAACCUCUCUUUGGGCAGUUUCAGCUGGGCAGCUAUGAACAGCAUGAGUCUAAUGGACAGUUGGGAAGCCUCAGCUUUCCAGAUAUCCCGUUCAUGUCCUUAAGUUUAAUUAAUUAAAAAGUAUCCCUAUGAACUGGAGAAGACAAAAUCUUGCUUAGUACAGAGUCCAAGUUGGAUGAGAUGCAAGCAAUUUUAUCCACAAAAUGCCUAAUAAAACUGUGGGGAGCCCACUGUCUGAUCUUGGAGAAAGUCUCAGCUCAAGGGAGAAGGUGCUCAAGAGCAAUGACUUAAAUUGCAUGCAGGGCAUCCCUGUUUCAGAGGCCCUCUAGCUCUUCCACAGGACUGCUGGUCAUAGCAGCAGGAGAAUCUACCAGAGCAGUCAAGAAACCAUUUGAAUGUAUCCUUCUCCAAGGGGAGACCAUCCUAAUUUAAACUGAAUCUUAACCCUUGGACAUGUUUUAAAUGCAGCAGAAAAAGAGAACCAAUCUUCAGACAAGGUGGCAAGCAAAUCAUGUCUGUUUAUUUACUGAAGCAUUCCAGGAGAGGAGAAUUUACCUGGGAGGGAAGGACACCACCCCCAAGUCUACCCAUCUGAACUGCGCAGCUUGGAUGAACUCUUCUAUAAAGGCUAAUGUGUCACUCAGGGAGACAUUACAAGGGCUGUGGGCAUUGCCUAUAAGUGUGAUUCACAUUUUUCUAUUCUGGGACAACAUGGUCCUUUGCUGCUAUAUGUGCAAUUCUGCAGUGUUUGAUACAAACACCAGAUGAUGAACUUUUCUACAGUACUAGGUCUUCUAGUUUCUAUAGCACAGAUAGCAUUCAGCACAUAUUGGCAACUCUCUCCUACAGCAAGGUUACCGCUAUUUAAAGUAAGAGGAAACAUAAUUGUAAAUUCCCCAGAGAUGAAUGGGAGCAUUUCAGAGUACAGGUUAAACUUUUAGCUCUGGGACGCUGCAAUGGAAUUUUCUUUGGUGAGGAUCCAUCUAUUAAUCUGAUAUAGAAAUUGCCAUUCUGAGCCAGACUGUGGCCAGACUUAUGUGCUCAGCUGGUAGGCCCUGUUACCUUAGUUUGGAACCACUGUUAUAUACAGCUUAGUAGACCAAUGGCACAUAUCAACAUAUGUAUUAAACUGUAAUCCUUCUGUUGCAAUUACUUCAACCAUAAUUUCUGCCUCAUAGCAAAUAAAGACUUCCAAGAGAAAUGGUUAAAGCCAUGUAGGGCUUGCUGAAGAAACAUUAGUUCACAUUGCGUCCAGAAAAGUUUGGAAACCAGAAUCACUUCUUCUGCAGAAGUGUAUUAAUGCGGUCCCCAGCAACUACCAUUUGCUAAAUGAGCACAUUGCACCUGUUGUGGCUUCUGUGAAAACUUCAAGGGUGGCUCUGUAUGCAGCACAUUGCAGUAAUACUAUCUGGCUUUCAGAGAACUGUGAAAAGGGCUGAAUGUAAAGGAAAUGCUUGUAAUCAUUCUACCAAGCACAAAAUGGUGAGGAUGCUUUUGGCCACUGAUGCCUACUUCAAGGUUUUUUGAGCAAAUACAGACCUUCCCAAAGCCGCUAACGUGCAGUCCUAAGGGACUGCCGAUUUAG